GCUGAAGAUGAUGAUUGUACGUUUGGACAAUGCAAUAGUAACAAUAUAUGUGAAUGCGAUGCAAGUGCAGGUUACAAGCUGAAAGAAGAUUAUUUGAACGUCUGUGAGGAGGUUACUUGUCCUGAAAAAUACUGUUCAUAUGGGGGCGAGUGUUCUGUUAAAGAUGUUGAACUGGAGUGUGACUGUCCACAAGGAACAGAAGGAGAUACAUGUGAACAAUUUACAUCAACUCCCUGCGACCCAGAUCCCUGUGAAAAGGGUGAAACAUGUAGCCGUGUUACGACUGACCCUGCGGACUACACAAAACAUGAGUGUACUACAGCUGCUUGUGAGGGUACUUUUAAUGGGGACUGCUGCCAAGUUGUUAUACAGUUUCAUGAUGGUGCAAUAUGUAUGUUUUAGUUUCGGAACAUGAACAUAUUCUUAGUUAAUAUAUAGUUAGAAGUAGUAGAAACUCGUAGUAUAUAAAACUAGAAACGGGAAACCCGCUAGUUGAAAGUUUUAUUCGAGGAAAUU